GGGCCGCUAGCUCAGUUGGUAGAGCAGUUGACUCUUAAUCAAAUGGUCAGGGGUUCGAAUCCCUUGCGGCCCA
rnacentral:tRNA from 1 species